rnacentral:rRNA from 1 species
CAGCAGCCGCGGUAAUACGAAGGGGGCUAGCGUUGUUCGGAUUUACUGGGCGUAAAGCGCACGUAGGCGGAUAUUUAAGUCAGGGGUGAAAUCCCAGAGCUCAACUCUGGAACUGCCUUUGAUACUGGGUAUCUUGAGUAUGGAAGAGGUGAGUGGAAUUCCGAGUGUAGAGGUGAAAUUCGUAGAUAUUCGGAGGAACACCAGCGGCGAAGGCGGCUCACUGGUCCAUUACUGACGCUGAGGUGCGAAAGCGUGGGGAGCAAACAGGAUUAGAUACCCCCGUAGUCCCUGUCUCUUAUAC